rnacentral:rRNA from 1 species
GGGGAAUCUUGGACAAUGGGGGCAACCCUGAUCCAGCCAUGCCGCGUGAGUGAUGAAGGCCUUAGGGUCGUAAAGCUCUUUCGCCUGUGAAGAUAAUGACGGUAGCAGGUAAAGAAACCCCGGCUAACUCCGUGCCAGCAGCCGCGGUAAUACGGAGGGGGUUAGCGUUGUUCGGAAUUACUGGGCGUAAAGCGCACGUAGGCGGACCAGAAAGUUGGGGGUGAAAUCCCGGGGCUCAACCCCGGAACUGCCUCCAAAACUCCUGGUCUAGAGUUCGAGAGAGGUGAGUGGAAUUCCGAGUGUAGAGGUGAAAUUCGUAGAUAUUCGGAGGAACACCAGUGGCGAAGGCGGCUCACUGGCUCGAUACUGACGCUGAGGUGCGAAAGUGUGGGGAGCAAACAGG